AUAUUUAAAAGAUCUUCUAUAUUAUAUAAGACGCAAUAACCAUUAGAAGAAAAUGAAGUCUGGAAACAGGAUGCAUUCAGAUGCAUUUACUACUUUUUGAUUUAUAAGAUAAUAAUCACAGAAGGCUAAAUUGGUGGUAAAAUGGUCCUAAACUUUGGAAUUUCUAGGAAUAUAAUCAACCACCACAUGAACAAUAUAUAUAAAAGAUUCCAAAAAUUUUGUGCCAAUUUUGUCACAAUAAUUUGCAUAUUUUUAUUUAUGAUAUGCAUAUCAGCCAUAUUAUUUAAACCAUCAGAUAAUACAAUUAAUGUAUUAUUUAUUAAUGUCGGAAAGGGUGUAAUUCGAAAAACUAAUGAGAACUAUUUAAGUCUUGGACUAGAUUCUUCAGUCAUUGCUGAUGGUUUCUUUGGUUUUGACAUGAAUAACCCCCAACUAAUUGCUGUUACAAAACACUUGAGUCCAGGAUUAUUAAGAGUUGGUGGUACACUUGCUGACAGAUUAAGAUUUGUUUCUG